CCUACGGGAGGCAGCAGUGGGGGAUAUUGCACAAUGGGGGAAACCCUGAUGCAGCGACGCCGCGUGUGGGAAGACGGUCCUCUGGAUUGUAAACCACUGUCCCCAGGGACGAAGAUGACGGUACCUGGGGAGGAAGCUCCGGCUAACUACGUGCCAGCAGCCGCGGUAAUACGUAGGGAGCGCGCGUUGUCCGGAAUUACUGGGUGUAAAGGGAGCGUAGGCGGGACUGCAAGUUGGGUGUCAAAUCUACCGGCUCAACCGGUAGCCGCACUCAAAACUGCAGUUCUUGAGUGAAGUAGAGGCAGGCGGAAUUCCUAGUGUAGCGGUGAAAGGCGUAGAUAUUAGGAGGAACACCAGUGGCGAAGGCGGCCUGCUGGGCUUUUACUGACGCUGAGGCUCGAAAGUGUGGGGAGCAAACAGGAUUAGAUACCCUUGUAGUC
rnacentral:rRNA from 1 species